rnacentral:rRNA from 1 species
CACCUCUAGCAAAUAACAUAUAUUAGAGGCACUGCCUGCCCAGUGAUUACAUUCAACGGCCGCGGUAUCUUAACCGUGCAAAGGUAGCAUAAUCACUUGUCUUAUAAAUCAAGACUAGUAUGAACGGCAACACGAAAGCUUAACUGUCUCCUAUAUUCGGUCAAUGAAAUUGAUCUUCCCGUUCAAAAGCGGAAAUAUAAUAAUAAGACGAGAAGACCCUAUGGAACUUAAAACAUAAACCAUCUUAUACCUUAAUAAUAUAUUAUAACUACUGGUAUACUGUUUUCGGUUGGGGUGACCACGGAGAAAAACUUAACCUCCGAAAAAAUUACUAAGACACAACACAUCAAAGUAUUAAAUUUUAAAUUUCAUGACCCAAUAAACUUGAUCAACGAACCAAGCUACCCUAGGGAUAACAGCGCAAUCUUCUUCAAGAGCCCAUAUCGCCAAGAGGGUUUACGACCUCGAUGUUGGAUCAGGAUUACCUGACAGUGCAGCCGCCGUCAAAGGUUUGUUUGUUCAACAAUUAAAAUCCU